AGCAAGAUGCUUCAGCAUUGUCCAAGCCAUUGGCAUUGUAGGCGGCGGGGCGGUUUUUGGAAAACAUUUGUGUGGAACUGGAACAAGUGUGGAAGACAUUUUUUUUAGAGGUAGAGAGGGCAAAACGAAGUUGAAGAUUUAUAACAUUACUGUUGUGAAUAUGAUGCGUUGCAUUUCCAAGAGUGUAAGAUGUCUUUGGGACAAGCCAGCAAGUCAUUUGUUUCAGCGACAUUUCAUUUCAACUUCAACUUCGUUGCAAGAUCAACUGAAGCCGUACACCCCGCGGCGGGCGGUGCUGUACGUGCCUGGCAGCGACCGCAGGAAGAUCGACAAGACUGCCUCGCUGGACGCCGACUGCAUCGUGCUCGACUGCGAGGAUGGAGUGGCGCUCAACCGGAAGGAGGAGGCGCGACGCACCAUUCGCGAGGUGCUGCACACGGGCAGCGUCAGCUUCUCCGGGAAGGACUGCUCGGUGCGUGUCAACUGCGUGGAGAGUGGCCACUGCGAGACGGACCUGGAGCACGUGCUGUCGGCGCGCCGCCUGCCCGACACGCUCCACCUGCCCAAGGUGGACACCGUGGAGCACGUGACCUGGUUUGUCGACCGGCUUCGAAAGCACAUGCCAGCAGACAUGAAAACUCCGAUGAAUCUCAUUUUGUUCACUGAGUCGGCUCUGGGAAUGCUGAACCUCAGAGCCAUCUGUGAGCGGACGCUGGAACUAACGUCUGACCUGCCACUCUCGCUAGAUGGCCUCGUAUUCGGCUCCGACGACUUCUGUGCUGACAUCGGCGCCACGCGCACUUCGGAGGCGCGGGAACUACUGUUCGCGCGACAAAACUUCGUCAUGAUCGCCAAGGCGUUCAAACUGCAAGCCAUAGACGUCGUGUACAUCGAUUAUAAAGACCUCGAGGGACUACGGUGCCAGUCGGAGGAGGGCGCCCAGUUCGGCUUCACGGGGAAGCAGGUGAUCCACCCGGGCCAGGUACCGGUGGUGCAGAGUGCCUUCUCACCCUCCCCCGAGCGGGCAGAGUGGGCCGCCCGCCUGGUGGAGGCGUUCGAGAAACACCAGACCUCCGGAAAGGGCGCCUUCACGUUCGGCGGCCACAUGAUCGACCGACCGCUGCUGCUGCAGGCGCACAACGUGCUGCGAAUGCAGACUCGCUCAGAGGCCAGCUGAGCCGACCUCGGGCCAGUGACGUCACUCGCUCACUGACCAAUGACAUCGCUCAGCUGUCCACCCCAGGUCUGCAGGCGCUCUCGCCUCUCGCAAGCCAGGCGGCCGAGGACAGCGCGCCGCUCCGCGUGGGGUACCGGUGACGACUGACACCGGUAUGCGCGACCAAUGACUACGUACGAGGGCUAUAAAUCGUGACGAGGUGGUAUGCCUUGAAUGGGUUUUGUUUCCAUCCCUAGCUAUAACUCAAGGCUUAGACCUGUGUGCGAGAGAUAGCAGACAUCGACUUCGCUGUGUUAAGUUUGAAGGCAGAGAGGAACCGACUGGCUGACUUUUUCCUGUAUGGGUUGCGUCAGUGAUAUUUGUGCGUUUUAUAGUUGUCCGUGCAGUGUGCAUUGUGCCUUUCGCCCGGGACAAAAGUAAUUUUUUACCUGCCUGCGGUGUAGUGCACUGUGUGUAUGCAGCCAAGGAUGUGAUGCCCGUGAUGGUCAGUUAAAGUAAUUCAGUCAACGAAGCACGGUUUGACGAUUGUCGAGCCCGUUGUGCACUUGAUUUUGUCGCCGAAAGCACCUGUACCUUAUUAUAUCGCCUUACCUGUGCAAACUGUGCAUGGAAAUUAUAUGCACAUCUUUCUUCUACAGACGGACACGCCAGAACUCAUGUUACUUGGUAGCUAUGAUCCCAAUUCCCAACCCUAAACGCGAUUUAUUUUCCACUCACCCCGGCACGGCCUUCGUUACUGGCUCAACAAGGGCCCCUCAGAAAUUAAUCCGUCAUGCUCUUCUGCGGCGCUGGUCCGUCGCCAUCUUCUGCGGCGCUGAUAGGUCGUGUCUUCGGAGGGCGAAGGCCUCGGACGCCAGCAAGGAUUUUGGCGCUCCAUAAGGUUCAUUAUUGUAUGCCUUAUGAUGGGCGCCAAAAGCCUUUCUGGCGCCCAAUCGUGCCCCAUACAGAUGCUCGCUGACUGCUUGAAUGUCGUACACCGCUUGGAUGUCUUGCAAGAUUACAUACCAUUCGUUCUGGAAGGUGUUACCUAAGAAUCAUUUUGAUAUUUAAUCCUACAGCUUGUGAUUGCGCGGACCGCGGUGACGUAACAUUCGCUGCUGCCGGCUUUGUCACAAUGCAUUUAUGUAUUUCAAGUGAUUGACCAAAUAUUUACCUACUUACGUACUGUCCUGCGUCACAGAUGAUGCUCAUAAAGUGACAGUUCCUAGGUCUGAUGAAUGAAAUGUCAUGCGACGCAAUUGGAGUCUUCCUGAAUAAAAGAGCAUGGUAACAUAGCAAAAAUUG